rnacentral:ncRNA from 1 species
UCUCAUCAAGAGUAGUGGAGGGAAAGGCCCUGUGAAGCUACAGCAACCAUUCCUGAUGGAAGAGGUGCUAAAUCCAACGAUAUUUGAUCGGAAGAUG